AACAAUUUUACAUAUUUCUAUACAUUAGCUUUCUUUUUUUUUUAACACAAUUUUAUAUAUUAGCUAAAACCUUCAUUUUGUAACCAAAACAACAAUUUCCAGCUAUUUAAUUAUGUCUUCUCACGUACCGAUCUCUACUUUGUUUUUUUUUUUUUUUUAACUUCUUUUGCUCUAUUUUCUAAACAACAAAUUUCUUUCUUUUAUGUUUCAUAUGUACUGUACAAGGACUUCUCCUUAUCUUAUAAUAUUUUGACUAAGGCUACUAGUAGCCAAUCCUUUUUUUUUUAACUCCGAUGAUCUUAUUAAACAAAGGGAAACAGCCCAAAAGUACAAGAAAAAGUAAAAGAGGUCAAACGAAGCCACAGACGAGGCCACGAAAGAAAACCAAAAUAGAGUUCAGAAGAAGUCGAUCGUGACUCGAAAUCCACGCGUUUCUUUUAGCGUGACAGAGACACGUGUCCACCAUGCGAGCCACCACCGCGCUUCAACGACAAAGACAUCUCCGGUGAAGAUCUAAUCGGCAGCUCACCGGAAACAAACUGGAAACAGAGCCCCGUACAAAGCACCUCGCCGUCGAUGACAUCAGGAGAUGAAGGCGUCACUAUCUACAACACCUUAGUCUUUAGCGUGAGAUCUCAUACAUCAGAGGAUAAUAAAUCAAAUCAAAACGAUUUGAUUCUCCAUCGAAAUCCAGUAGACCCACGAAAGAACUAAAGCCAAAGGAUCUCUCUUCUUAAUUUGAAGUUUCUAUCGAGGAACAACGUUCUCGAUCCAAUCGAGUAACGAAAUGAUGGAAACAGAGAUAGCUUGAAGAAGAUAAGAUCAGACAAAAGCCGGGAUGAAUCCGGAGAAGACCAACACCACCACCGCGAAGAGAAGUGAGAUGUGGAACCAAGUGCCAACGGAAACAUCAUAAGAGCUGAUGUACCACCGGAGCCGAAAGCCGGCCGACCACCUAAAAGAAAGUGUGACACGGGAGACAAAAGCCGGGAAAACCAGUGCUAAGAAAGUCACUGUUUUCCGGAGGAUGAAGCCCGGUCAACGGGAGGCAAGACCGGAAGAAGAAACUGACCAAAAGACAGAGUUUUGGUCUCUAUUCAACUCCUCCCUGUGAAAGAUUUUAGCGAAAUAACAGAGAGGAGAGAGAGACCUUAGCUACUAGUAACCAAUCCUAUAACGUGUAUUUUUCGAACAUAUCUAAAAUCAUGCAAAAUUUGUAUGAAAGCCAUAAAUUCCUUAUAACUUACAUCUCAGUUCUGUUUUUUGUGUUUUAUUAGCUUUUAUUAUAUGUAUAUAACAAAUACUUUAAUCCACAAUUUAUCUAGCAAAAAGAUGCAUGAAAGUAAUUCAAACAUUUACUAUUAUGUCAUUUUCAUAGAGAAUGGUUAAAAAAUUAGUAAAAAAUAAUCAUAUAUAUAGCCUGAAGAUGAAUUAGUUGGAGAAAUAGUUGAAUGAUCAAUUUUAGAAGUUUCAUAAUUAUGUCACACUUCCGG
rnacentral:lncRNA from 1 species